rnacentral:rRNA from 1 species
UCGGACUGUAGUCUGCAACCCGACUACACGAAGCUGGAAUCGCUAGUAAUCGCGAAUCAGAAUGUCGCGGUGAAUACGUUCCCGGGUCUUGUACACACCGCCCGUCACACCAUGGGAGUCGGGAAUGCCCGAAGUCAGUGACCCAACCAUAUGGAGGGAGCUGCCGAAGGCAGGUCUGAUAACUGGGGUGAAGUCGUAACAAGGUAAC